UACGGAGGGUGCAAGCGUUAAUCGGAAUUACUGGGCGUAAAGCGCACGCAGGUGGCUGAGUCAGUCGAUUGUGAAAGCCCUGGGCUUAACCUGGGAAUUGCAGUCGAUACUACUCAGCUAGAGUAUGGGAGAGGGUAGUGGAAUUCCCGGUGUAGCGGUGAAAUGCGUAGAUAUCGGGAGGAACAUCAGUGGCGAAGGCGGCUACCUGGCCCAAUACUGACACUCAGGUGCGACAGCGUGGGGAGCAAUCAGG
rnacentral:rRNA from 1 species